rnacentral:lncRNA from 1 species
AAAUUUCCGGCGAGAAGCAAGAAUUCAAAACCUCUAAACAGCAAUAGGCUUAAAUAAUCAAAUAUUAAAAUAUUUACCAAAAAUUAAAAUUCAGAAUGCAAAGCAGGAAAAUGAUGAGGCUGUGACUGAAUGUGAAAACCAAUUCACAUAAUUCAACAUUUUCCUUCUUUACAAUUUUAUUUAUAUUGUAAAGUUACAAUCAAAAUUUUAUAUAUGCAUGACAAUGGC